ensembl:lncRNA
CUGAUCCGGCCCUUUGCUGUCGGCCGGCCGCGGGGCCAGGCCCGGAGCUGGAGCGGCGGGCGGAGGUGAGCGGGGAGGCCCGGAGGCGGAGCUAGGCCGCGGGGUGAGCGGGGCGGCCUGGAGGCAUCGCGGCUGCUCCGUGAAGGGCAGGGGCGAGCGAGGGAAGCCUGUGCAGCGCGUUGACGUGAACUCUGGGGGUAGGAAGUGUGGGGAGUGUAGGGAGUGCCGGUGGGCGCCGUGCGAGCGCGGACGGGGAGAAGAGCAGUUCAGCUCGUGGUGAGGCAUCUCCGUGCUGCCACACGGGAGGGUAACACGGUCCUUUGUUACAGGGAGACCGCAAGGAGAUCCCAGCUGGGCGCCAGGAAAGCACAACUGAAGCGCCGGCCGGCAGCAUGGUGAACGAGAGGCGCGAGGGCGGGCUGCUGGUGCACCUGGG